rnacentral:lncRNA from 1 species
ACCCUAACCUUAAGGGUCCCCCACCACCCCUGCCCUAGAGCAUCGUGAGGGAGGUAAAUCGCAGGUUAUGCCUCCAAGGGUACAAGGUGGAAGGCUGCUUGUACACUUGCACUUACCCAAGAGCCAAAUCCAUAUUUCAGGAUUCGAACCCUUGACGCAGCAGCCUCAAGCAAAGCUGAAUUUCUCCACCCUCCCCUUUUACCACUUGGAGAUGUGCCCUGGGGGC